GGCGGGUCGCUGGGCGUGGUGGCGAGCGGGCGGCAUGGAGAAGGGCGGUCACGGCGGGAAAUCGGCGGCCGUCCCGGCCCCUCACUUGCAGCCGCCGCCGCAGCCUCGGAAGGAGAGGAGGCCCAGCAUGUUCGAGAAGGAGGCAGUGAGUGCGGGGACGGCGGGGCUGCGCCGACCCCCGCUGGGGCUCGGAGUGCGGUGGCCGGCGGCGCGGCGCGGCUGUCGGGAGCGGCCGUCUCCCUCCACGCUCCGCUGGACGCCUGAUGCCGGGGUGGUUAGUGCCACGCUCAGACCAGGGCCGUUGUCCGGCCGGGCACGUGUGUGUGCGCGCUGCCUGGAAGGAAGGAAACGUGGCGCGUGUGCCAAGCACACGACGAGAUGUUUUGAGUUUUAAGAAACACCAGCGGGCUCGGUAUUUGAGGGACAUACGGGAGGAAAAAAAGUUAAAUUGAAAAUAUUCUGCCUAUUAAUUUCUAGUCUGGAAUUAAUGGAAGAUGCCAUUCAAGUGUAUUGGUGGAAUAACACCGGGAUUUCUGGAAGACCGUAGUCCGAGUACCAUCACUGUAAUCGAGACUCCCAUCUUGUAUUGAGACCUAAAGUGAAAAGAACAUUUACAGUACAAAACUGUAAUGACCGAGCUGAGACUGGAACCUAUGUCCUGGGACUGCUGGUCUACUUGUGUAACGGUUUCUUCUACUUCGUCGGAGCCGAAAUGGACAGGAUGCAGGAGAGACGUGAUUGCAAAGAUUCUUCCUUAGUGAAGGGAUAAGAUGAUAGAAGGAAAACCGAAUCAGAAGACCCAUAUUAUAUAUAAGGAAGAAAUGGUAGAGGUGUGAGUUUUCACGUUAGAAUCUGUCAUUUUCAAACCACACACGCAUGCUGUAUCCCCAAGGGGAUCGUUGCAGUUGGAAGCCACUGUGAAGGAUGCAGUGUAGUUGUACCCCUUGAGUAUAUUGUGGGGGGAAAGAAGGCAGUUACUCUAGAGAAGCAUUCUCUUAAUAGAAAAGAACAAAAUGCAGAUUUUGUUUUGGGGAGGUGUAGGGAGCUAAUAAUACCUCUUUUUUCCAACUGACAUGUAACACAGGCUGCAAAUAAAACAGAUUUCUGAUGAAGGACUUCUACUUGCAGCCAACAUGGAAUUACUCCUACCAGAAACUACUGAUAAUAGCACAAGAUGUGUGAAACAGUGGUUUUACCAUUGAUGGGAUGUAAAACAAGACAGGAUCCUGAUCUCAGGGGGGGAGAAACAGGAACAGUGAACCCCAAGAUUACCCCUGACUGCUUGAUGAGGGAUUGCAGCCCACACCUGUGGAGAGGUCUUGCUUAGCUGAGAAGGAUUUGGGAGCCAGGGUAGAUAAAGCUGGUAUGAGUGCAGAGCAGAGUAUUGAAGAGGAAUGAGCUGUACAAACAGCCCCAAGGAUCUGCAAAGGAUUUUCCUCAAGUCUUCAGCUUAGUGCAUCAGUGCAUCUGUAUGCGCAAAUUUUGAGAGAAAGACUGAGAGAAUCAUUUCAUGAUGUUCAGUAUGUAGAGCCUCCAUUUGAUGAUUCAAUUGCUGAUUUAGGUAAAGAAUGGAAGAGUGCCCUGGCAAAAUUAAAGUUUGCUAAUUCAUAUAGAAUGGAGCCAUUGAAAAAAUUCCAAGCUCAUUCCGUGGAAACUAAAGUCCAGCAGAUAUUAAAGCAUCUGGGGAGGCGAAGCCUGAGGUCCGUUGGGCAGAUUCAGAAGAGAGAAUGGAUGUUGCGAAGCGUUUGAAAGAUGGAGCCACAGCCAAAUGCCUAAGGGAAAUGAAUGCUUCUACACCCAGUUUUAGGUCCAGCAGCAUUCUAGAAGGGACUCAAAACUCUUUGUUUUUACUUGCCUAUACAAUUAGCUGGUAGGAGUUCAUCUGUUAUGGCGGGACCCAGAACUGUGGUUAAUUCAUUGGUCUGAAUCAGUAGGUCAAAGUCAGUCAAAGACGCCUGCAGUCUGCUCACUAGGUGGUCCAGUCUGCUUCCGGUUUGUAGGAACGCCUCGCGCUUCAUGGCUCACAUCUGUCUCCCCAGCUGUGAUUAAUCCACAGCAGACAUGGCCAGAAGCUUUCCAUCUCCUCAGUGCUCGCCGGGAGUCCACAGAGAAGCCAUGGGGAAAGGGUUGGAGAGGUGGCUUCGGUUCAGGAAGACUGCGAAGGACAGGAUCACAGAGUACAGGCCGUGGAGGAUGGAGAUCACAGCAAAUGGGCCACGGAGGAUGGGAUCACAGGGUACAGGCUCUGGUCCAGGAAACCCAAGCCUUAGGAAAACUAAAGUCUGAAUUUUCACAAACAUGUAAAUUAUAGAAAGAUUUCCUUUGUCUACCCUAAGAAUUCCCAGAAGCAUUCUUUUAAAAUUCCCCUGUGUCUCCCUGCUGUCUGAUGGGGUGAUCCAGUGAAGGAAAACUUACAGCCCGAGGGUUGGUGAUGGAGAGCAAUUGAAUGUAAUUAAAAACCAAAAUAAAUUUUAUUCAACAUUGUUAUUGAAACAAACUGGUAAGCACAACAUACAUUUCAUAUCAUUUGGUUAGGAAUGCAUGUAUUUUUUUAAAGUUAUAUGUAUUUUUUAGAUACAUGUUUUCUUGAAUUUUUAUGUAGAAGAUAUUUGGUUUGAAGAUUAAAAUAUUUUU